rnacentral:rRNA from 1 species
CUCGUAGGCGGUUUGUCGCGUCUGCUGUGAAAACUGGAGGCUCAACUUCCAGCCUGCAGUGGGUACGGGCAGACUAGAGUGCGGUAGGGGAGAUUGGAAUUCCUGGUGUAGCGGUGGAAUGCGCAGAUAUCAGGAGGAACACCAAUGGCGAAGGCAGAUCUCUGGGCCGUAACUGACGCUGAGGAGCGAAAGCAUGGGGAGCGAACA